rnacentral:lncRNA from 10 species
GUUGAGUGCCUGGGUAGAGCAUCCAGAAAGGGUCUAUGAACACACAAUGUCACAACAAUGCCAAGGACUUUAUGAUAGUGAUAAAUGAACUUCAACACAAAAGAAAUGUAAGACCCUACCAAUGAGGACAGAUGGAAAAUAAAAUCACAUUUUCCAGGGUGAUUUAUCUAAAGUCAUUUAUGAGAAGACAUUUCAGGGCAAACAGGCCACAUCAGAGGAGCAUAUCUCUCAGGGGACACGGAUGGAGUUGGAAGCCAUUAUCCUCGGCAAACAAACACAGGAACAGAAAACCAAACACUGCAUGUUCUCACUUACAAGUGGGAAUUGAAUGAUGAGAACACAUGGACACAUGGAGGAAAACAACACACACUGGGGCCUGUCAGGGGUUGAGGGGUUAUGAGGUAGCACCAAGAAGAAUAGCUAAGGGAUCCUGGGCUUAAUAUCUAGGUGAUGGGAUGAUCUGUGCAGCAAACCAUGACGGCACACGUUCACCUAUGUAACAAGCCUGCACAUCCUGCACAUGUACCCCAGAACUUAAAGUAAAAGUUGAAAAAAAUUUUUCUAAAAUAGAUGCUUUCAACAGGCAAAAUAAAUAAAUAAAUAAAUAAAAGAAAUGUAAGUAAUUAGACUGUAUAACAGAGAUAAAAAGUUAAAACUUACGUACUAUAUGAAAUAAGUCUAAACUAAUACUGACAAUAACUAACACAGUUUUACACUAAUUUUAGUAGUGGGUUUCUAG